UUGCAGAAAUUAUUGGCAGCUAGGUUUCCUUCCGUGAGGACCAACGAAGCACACAAGAUUCUUUCACAAGUCCUGAUGAAGACUUACAAUUUAUCAUCAAAAGGCGCCUUUAGAUUUCUACUGCAAUGGAGUGUCUGAUAAACACCUUCCAUUUCUACAGGGAAAGAAGCAGAGCUAUUCUCUGAAAUGAAUAACUCUGCAUUCAAAGGAGGCUUUCCAGAGAAGCUGGGCACUAAAACAGAUUAAGAUGAACUGAAGACACAGAAAACCAUUAUGUUCACAGAAUAAACAGUUUUAGUCAUUUAAUGUUAUAAUAAAUGUAUUUGGCUGUGACAUGCUGCUUUCACCACAAAAAGGUCUCCUGUUAAAUAUGCACAUGUCUCUACAUUGGGCCAGUGAUAGGAGCUGGACAGCCAGGGGUGACAGUCCUACUGUGGAUCUUGAAUUUGCUUUUCUGAGGAACAGGCGAUUACUGUAAACAUUCCUCUUUUCAAAAUGGAGAGGAAGUGAAUUUAGCAUUGCUGACAAGUGUCAGAUUUACUGCUUUAAAGAUCAAAGCAAUUAAUUUAUUCAGAGGAUCAGGGAAAGAGCAAGAGAAACAGACAUGGCCCCACUGGCUGCCCUGCCUUUGAUGACCAGAGCUCUAGGUAACAAAGGUUUGUCAGCUUUUUACCAUACUCAAUCCUAGGAGAUCUGAGUUAAGACUAAAACUUCAGGGCCCUUGCUGGCCUAUUGGAAAAUAAGGAGGAUGCGUAUCCAGCAGCAGGGAUAUGAUAAAGAAUCAAUUGCCAUCCAAGUGUUCACUUGCUCUUUUAAAUAUGAAGCAUUCUAAGUACAAUGUAUAGGAAGACAGGACCAACAACAAAAUGCUUUUUGAUAAACUGCUGACAAUGUGGAUUUGGGUGGUGUUUUAUUUACUUCAGAGACUGGCUUUGCAGAUAAUAAGAUGUUUGUUGCAUGUAUGUGUGAUGUGUUAGACAUUUAUCUUCAGAAGCCCAGGAAAAUAAGACAAUGCAAAGUAAAAGAGUGGUAAAAUACUGGUAUCACUCCCUCACCUAAUGAAGGAAGCUUAACAAGCCAACACAAGACAGGAGAAGUCACUCAGAAAUCAUCACUCUCUAUUGUUCUUGGAUGACACAGAUAAAGAUUCACUGACGGUCUAAAAAUAUUCUCCAUACUAGGUACCUGGAAAUUUUUCCUCUUGACUCAGUUUUUCUUUCCAAAUGAAAAUUUGGUCAUGAUUACUAUUAUGAACCCUUCUUGCUAAGGGAAUUUUGUUAAUGAGUACUGACUUCAUUCUACAUGGUUCAGAUUCUCUUACUUGCAAAAUAAUAACAAUGUUUUAAGUCUCUUGUCUGAAACAAAUUAAUUUGAUCCCAUAUCCUAAUAGUGUCAAUGAGCAAACCCAUGUGUUCCUACAGUUUUUGGGUCUGAUAAGUCAAAAUAAAUAAAGUCAAACAAGAAAAAGCCUUUAAA